UGUGGAAUGUGCACAUGUGCACCAUGUGCGUGUGUGUGCGCACGUGUGCGCUCGCAUGCACCCAUGGGUCUUCCUGGGUGAGUGUGCUUUUGUGCGUGUCUAGAAGGCACCAUCUCUUUCCUCCCAACCAGUACCCUGAGCAGAGUUUGUCCCCUAAAUGAUGCUAAGCUGUGUCUUGCCAAGUCCCUGAGCCCACCCUUGGAGCGCCCAGGGUGAGGAAGUGAGCUGACCUGACCCUGGUGACUCCCUAAAGGGUGCCUGAGCUGGCCUGGGAUGGACCUGAGGAUCCAGAUGCUUCCUCCCGGGGGCUGGGGCCAGGGUCAAGGUUGGGACAGUGCCACCUCCCCGGCCCUGCUGUCCAGCGUUUCCUGAGCACUUGCUACGUGCCAGACUUCUCCUUUAACGCCGGAUGGCCACCAUUGUCCCUGACAGUUAAACGAAAUGAUAAAAAAUCAACCUGAUGUCUCCAGCUGUAUGAACGCAACCUGGCGGCAGGCCUGAUUCCGUCCGGGACCUGUGGUUGGCUAAUAACCUCUGGUGCAGGGUGGGCCUGGUCAGCCCUCUUUGGAGCCCCCCGGCUCAAACGAGGUGUGCUCCCCACAAAUGAAAGGAGCCAACUGAACGAGGGUGCUAACUCACCUGCUAUCUAUCUAACCAGCUAACCUGUUAACUAAGCCUUUAUCUCUUGGGUUCAGAGUUACCCCUGCCCAUC